rnacentral:rRNA from 1 species
CAGACUCCUACGGGAGGCAGCAGUGGGGAAUAUUGCACAAUGGGGGAAACCCUGAUGCAGCGACGCCGCGUGGAGGAAGAAGGUCUUCGGAUUGUAAACUCCUGUUGUUGAGGAAGAUAAUGACGGUACUCAACAAGGAAGUGACGGCUAACUACGUGCC